AACAGGAUUAGAUACCCUGGUAGUCCACGCCGUAAACGAUGAGCACUAGUUAUUGGAGGUAUUGACUCCUUCAGUGACGCAGCUAACGCAUUAAGUGCUCCGCCUGGGGAGUACGGUCGCAAGACUAAAACUCAAACAAAUUGACGGGGGCCCGCACAAGCGGUGGAUUAUGUGGUUUAAUUCGAAGCAACGCGCAGAACCUUACCUAGGCUUGAACUCCUACGAACCUCUUGUAAUGGAGAGGGUGUCCGCAAGGAAAUGUAGUGAGAGGUGCUGCAUGGCUGUCGUCAGCUCGUGUUGUGAAAUGUUGGGUUAAGUCUCGCAACGAGCGCAACCCCUAUCGUCUGUUGCCAGCAUUAAGUUGGGCACUCUGACGAGACUGCCUGGGUUAACCAGGAGGAAGGUGGGGAUGACGUCAAGUCCUCAUGGCCCUUAUGUCUAGGGCUACACACGUAAUACAAUGGCGCGUACAAAGGGAAGCGAACUCGCAAGGGGGAGCAAAUCUCAAAAAGCGCGCCUCAGUUCGGAUUGGAGUCUGCAACUCGACUCCAUGAAGUUGGAAUCGCUAGUAAUCGGAGAUCAGCACGCUCCGGUGAAUACGUUCCCGGGCCUUGUACACACCGCCCGUCACACCAUGGGAGUUGUUUUCAUUUUAAGACGUGACUCUAACCGCAAGGGGGAGAGCGUCUACAGUGGGAGCGAUGACUGGGGUGAAGUCGUAACAAGGUAACC
rnacentral:rRNA from 1 species